GAGAAAUGGCUUGAUUCCUAUGAAUUAUUAAUCUUGGAGAAGAAAAGCUUGAUUCAAAGAAGAAUUUGAAAAUAGAACUUCAGAGACAGAAGGGAUCUUAGAGAGUAAAUUCUUGCAGUGAUAGAAAGCUGAUUAGCACAUGGAGUAUGGUUCUACUGUUACUUGUUCUGAAGACAGAGGGAAAUGCCAUCAUCAUUGUGUGAAGGAAGCCUGGAACUCUCAUCCCUUUGCUGCCAAGUAAAUGUUAAUAGAAGUGAAAAGGACUGUAUAUCAAGAUAGUCACAGGAGCAAAGCUGCCACAAGUUUUUCAUACAGUUUUUCUUUAGAGUACUUUUCACUGGCUUCCAGUAACCUGAUCAAUCCAACAACCAGAGAAUUCAAUUUUCUUUGUCAAAAUUGAAUUGAAUUAGAUGUCAUUAUUCCCUGAGAGUAACCCAGACAUUCAUUGAAAAUUUCAACAGAGAUUUUCACAGAAAGAGUUUCAGCAAAGUCUAUGUGACUGUGAAUAGGAGAACAGAUGAAGAAACAAGGAGUCAUGCCUGUCUCAAAGGAGUGAUUUCACAAGGCAGUAAGAAAUGACCACAGGUUAUAGCUUGUGUUACUACACACUGAUGAUGCCUUUGAGGCUAUCCACUGAUGUCCUCACCCACGGCACAAUCUUUCUGAAGUUCCAGAUGAAGAGAACUGUGCCCAGGAGUUGUGCUUAGUGGAGUACAACAGAGCCUCAACUGUGGCUGACUUAGAUGCCAAUGAGAAGUUUGGACUUCUGGACAGAUUAGAUUUAGAAUCCCAUUCAGGAGACCACUUCAAUUUAGUCAUUGUCUCUCCUUAGGCUACUCUUGACUGUGACAGUUUCUCGGAUAUUUCUUGUUUGGUUGACCUGUACCAACCUUGAGAAGUGCUAGUCAGGUGUAAUGCUGAUAGAAUGUAAGCCUUGAGUUGCUAAAGAUAAUCUGGAUUACCACAGAGAAACAAUCUGAGAAGAAAGCUAACAGAAAGGAGAGCAGAUUUGGGAAGUGAAGUGGAACAGAUUCCUGAGGAUAAUGUGUGAACAUCCUAAUUUGGACAAGCCAGAUUUACUCCUUGACUUUUUAGUUAAAUAAGCCAAUAAAGCUUUGUUGUUUGUUGUUUCUUUUUUUUCUCUAAAGCCCAUUCAGGUUGUAUACUUGUUACUGUAAUUGGAAGACUCAACUAAAAGAUUUUCCUUAGGAUUUUAUUCCUCCAAAUAGAUUAACUAUCGUUCCACACAUAUCUGACAUUAGCAUCUUCUUAAUUCUCAGUUAUUUUACCUUAAGACUCUUCUAUCUAGAUUCUUACAUAAAAAAGAAUAAUGGGCUAAAACUUCAGUCAAACUGAUUAUUUAGCUUCAUUUAGACUAUACAAUUUAUCUACACUGGGGAUGUAAUCAAAUUCAGAAUACAUUAAAAUAUUAAACAUAUUGAAAAUAAUCUGUGAUUAGAAUAGCUACAAAAUUGUGACUUUAAAAAUUUCUGCUCCAUUUUAAGCAAGACUGUUAACCAGUGGGGCCACCUCUCUCUCUUGCCCCAGCAGUUUCUUAACCAUCAGGAAAUACUAGUCGGUUCCCAUGGCAGCAGCACGAACUCAACUUUUCCUGAUUUGAAAGUGUAAUUUGUCAAAUGAGCAAUCAGCCUCUUUUUUUAUCACAUCCCAAUCACCAAGUCACUGUGAAAUUUAGCAGAGUAACAUUGUAGUCUUCGCACUGAAAGAAAUGUGAAGGUGAUAAAAUAGCUCCUGACAGUUCAUACAGGUAGAAGUUGAGUGUUUGAACAUCUCAUAGCCACUGAAAAGUGUAUCUCAACCCUCACUCUGUUAUUUACUUCCUGUCUGAUUAUGGAGAGAUUAUUAAAUCUCUGUGACCCAGUUGCAUCAUCUAAGAAACGAGAAUAAUAAUAGAAUAACAUAACAUGACAUACAAUAAAAUGCAGUGUACAAAAUAAUAGGGCUGGGGUGAAGUUAAAUGGUCUGAUCCAUAAAACACUAAACACAGUGACUGACAAAGAGGAAACACUUAGUCAAUGUCAGGUGGCUAUUUAGAUACCCAGUUGUGAUGACAUCCCGAAUUCACUGAAUUCUUAAAAUGGAUACUUUCUAUAAAGACUGUGUAUCAUAGACAUCUCAAAGUAGGAAAAAUUAAGGAUCAAGUUGAUUGAACUUUUGAGAAUGAUAGGUAUGUGGAGAAAUAUAAUGAAGACCUAAUUUGAGCAAAUUAUUUGCUUUCUUUUUUUGUUCCAUAAUUGUUUUUAGAACUGUUAAUAAAGAAUGAAACCAUGGGUAGCCCUCAGAAGUACAAUAUUGCUAUCAACUUUUUUUGGU